UGCCCCUCUGCAUUUGUUUGAUGGAAACCCCUUCUCUGUCCCGGAGCCUCUAGUCAGAGAGCCCUCUGAGCUCCUGGGACCUGAGGAUGCUGGGUCUUGUGGUGAUUUCUGGCCCCAGUGAACAGAUCAUACCUGUGAUGGGCAGCAUUCAAAAUAGGCCCUGGGACCCCUGCCUCCUGGUGUGCACGCCCUAGGGCAAACCCCAUUCCUUGGAUGGUGUCAGAAGAGGCCCUGUGCUAAGCAUCCCUAUGGAGAAGGGUGUGUAGCAGAGGAACUGAAGCCGCCUGCCAAGAGCCAUGUGAG